rnacentral:rRNA from 1 species
UACGUAGGGUGCAAGCGUUGUCCGGAAUUAUUGGGCGUAAAGAGCUCGUAGGCGGUUUGUCGCGUCUGCUGUGAAAACUCGGGGCUUAACCCCGGGCCUGCAGUCGAUACGGGCGGACUGGAGUUCGGCAGGGGAGACUGGAAUUCCUGGUGUAGCGGUGAAAUGCGCAGAUAUCAGGAGGAACACCGGUGGCGAAGGCGGGUCUCUGGGCCGAUACUGACGCUGAGGAGCGAAAGCGUGGGGAGCGAACAGG